rnacentral:tRNA from 1 species
GUGAAUUUAGUUUAAAGAAAAACACCUAACUUGCAAUUAGAAGACCUAGGCUAAACCCCUUGAAUACACA